rnacentral:rRNA from 1 species
UGCAGUCGAACGAGACCUUCGGGUCUAGUGGCGCACGGGUGCGUAACGCGUGGGAAUCUGCCCUUUGGUUCGGAAUAACAGUUGGAAACGACUGCUAAUACCGGAUGAUGACGUAAGUCCAAAGAUUUAUCGCCAGAGGAUGAGCCCGCGUAGGAUUAGCUAGUUGGUGUGGUAAAGGCGCACCAAGGCGACGAUCCUUAGCUGGUCUGAGAGGAUGAUCAGCCACACUGGGACUGAGACACGGCCCAGACUCCUACGGGAGGCAGCAGUGGGGAAUAUUGGACAAUGGGCGAAAGCCUGAUCCAGCAAUGCCGCGUGAGUGAUGAAGGCCUUAGGGUUGUAAAGCUCUUUUACCCGGGAUGAUAAUGACAGUACCGGGAGAAUAAGCCCCGGCUAACUCCGUGCCAGCAGCCGCGGUAAUACGGAGGGGGCUAGCGUUGUUCGGAAUUACUGGGCGUAAAGCGCACGUAGGCGGCUUUGUAAGUAAGAGGUGAAAGCCUGGUGCUCAACACCAGAACUGCCUUUUAGACUGCAUCGCUUGAAUCCAGGAGAGGUGAGUGGAAUUCCGAGUGUAGAGGUGAAAUUCGUAGAUAUUCGGAAGAACACCAGUGGCGAAGGCGGCUCACUGGACUGGUAUUGACGCUGAGGUGCGA